CCCUUAGAUGUUCUGGGCCGCACGCGUGCUACACUGAUGCAUUCAACGAGCACUAACCUGUGCAGAAAUGUUCGGGUAAUCUUGUGAAAUUUCAUCGUGAUGGGGAUUGAUUAUUGCAAUUAUUAAUCAUAAACGAGGAAUGCCUAGUAAGCGUGAGUCAUCAGCUCACGUUGAUUACGUCCCUGCCCUUUGUACACACCGCCCGUCGCUCCUACCGAUUGAAUGUGCUGGUGAAAAGUUCGGAUUGGGAAUAGGAGACGGCAACGUAUCCUGUUUCUGAGAAAAUCUUUAAACCCUCCCAUUUAGAGGAAGGAGAAGUCGUAACA
rnacentral:rRNA from 1 species